GACGAACGCUGGCGGCGUGCCUAAUACAUGCAAGUCGAGCGCGGGAAGCAGGCAGACCUUCUUCGGGAGGGACGCCUGUGGAACGAGCGGCGGACGGGUGAGUAACACGUAGGUAACCUACCUAUAAGUCUGGGAUAACCCCGGGAAACCGGGGCUAAUACCGGAUAGGCACCACGUGCGCAUGCAUGUGGUGUGAAAGGCGGGUUUUGGCCUGCCGCUUACAGAUGGGCCUGCGGCGCGUUAGCUAGUUGGUGAGGUAACGGCUCACCAAGGCGACGAUGCGUAGCCGGCCUGAGAGGGUGACCGGCCACACUGGGACUGAGACACGGCCCAGACUCCUACGGGAGGCAGCAGUAGGGAAUCUUCCGCAAUGGGCGAAAGCCUGACGGAGCAACGCCGCGUGAGCGAGGAAGGCCUUCGGGUCGUAAAGCUCUGUUGUGAGGGAAGAAAGAGUGCAGGAGUAACUGUCUGCACGUUGACGGUACCUCACGAGGAAGCCCCGGCUAACUAC
rnacentral:rRNA from 1 species